ensembl:rRNA 5S_rRNA 5S ribosomal RNA
GCCGGCAGCUAGCUCUCUGCAACUCUCACAUGCUCGCCCACUGAAGCUAAGCAGAGCUGCACCUGCUCAGAACCUGGAUGGGAGACCACAUGGGAAAGCUGGGUCGCUGCCGGAA